AUACCGGGCCUUUUUGGGCUUGGUAAUUGGAAUGAGGGAGAGUUAAACGGACCAUCGAGUAUCCAUUGGAGGGCAAGUCUGGUGCCAGCAGCUGCGGUAAUACCAGCUCCAAUAGCGUAUAUUAAAGUUGUUGCAGUUAAAAAGCUCGUAGUUGGACUUGUGUGCGCUGUCCGCGGGUGGCCUGCGCCCAAAAGGGCGUUUCGGUUCGGCCCCGGUGGCGCCUUGAAAUCUGCAGCUGGGGGGACGUUGGCCUUAACUGGUCGGCGACCGCACGCCGGCUGCUCGGUUACUGUGAGAAAAUUAGAGUGUUCAAGGCAGGCAUUGGGUGCAAUUGAAUACAUUAGCAUGGAAUAAUAAAAUAUGGCUCCUGCCGUAUUUUGUUGGUUUUGACUGGUGGGAGUAAUGAUUGAUAGGGACGGUUGGGGGUGCUAGUAUUGAGCGGCCAGAGGUGAAAUUCAUGGAUUCGCUCAAGACUAACUUAUGCGAAAGCAUUCACCAAGGACGUCCUCUUUAAUCAAGAACGAAAGUUGGGGGAUCGAAGACGAUCAGAUACCGUCGUAGUCUCAACCAUAAACUAUGUCGACUUGGGAUCGGCGGUAGUUUUUUCAUUAAGACACUGUCGGGACCACGGGAGAAAUCAAAGUGUCUGGACUCUGGGGGAAGUAUGGUCGCAAGGCUGAAACUUGAUGGAAUUGACGGAAGGGCACCACCAGGAGUGGAGCCUGCGGCUUAAUUUGACUCAACACGGGGUAACUUACCAGGUCCAGAGAUGUAGAGGAUUGACAGAUUGAAGCUCUUUCUUGAUCACUUCGGUGGUGGUGCAUGGCCGUUCUUAGUUGGUGGAGUGAUUUGUCUGGUUAAUUCCGUUAACGAACGAGACCUCAGCCUGCUAGUGUAGUCGGCUGGAUUGCCUUUGGCGAUCCGUGAUUUCGACUUCUUAGAGGGACAAUCGACGCGCAGUCGAUGGAAGUUUGAGGCAAUAACAGGUCUGUGAUGCCCUUAGAUGUUCUGGGCCGCACGCGCGCUACACUGCUGGGCUCAGCGAGUUUUACUUGGCCGAGAGGCCCGGUUAAUCUUGUGAAAUCCCAGCGUGCUUGGGCUCGCCUCCUGCAACUGGAGGCGCCAACGAGGAAUUCCUAGUAGACGCAGGUCAUCAACCUGCAUCGAUUACGUCCCUGCCCUUUGUACACACCGCCCGUCGUUCCAUAAGAGUGAGGCAUCCGGUGAAUUCUCGGGAGAGCCUGGGCGUGGCCAGCAAUGGUCUGCUCGGGUUUGAACUUGCAUAAACUUGGUGCCUAUGAUUAGGG
rnacentral:rRNA from 1 species